CUUCAAGCAAAGCAGAUCUACA
rnacentral:snRNA from 1 species